ACGCGGAGGAGAAAGCCUGGUUUUGCUGGGACAGACACUCUGCGAGUGCUCGCCGUUGAUGCACACGAUGUCCAAGGGGACAAAGAAGCCUGCCAGCUCAUGGCAGAUGGGUGAAACUUGCGUGCUCUGUGGUCAGGGAGAUGCUGACAAAGACAUCUAUGGGCACAAACUGAUCAUCAGUGGGAUCUAUUUCCACCAGUUUUGUGCACUGUUUGUGGGUGGCCUUCUUCAAGGAGCAGCAAGACAGAAGAGAAAUGAUGAUUUAAGCAGGGUUGAGAUUAUACGCACAAUCGUGCAG